rnacentral:rRNA from 1 species
UGGGGAAUAUUGGACAAUGGGGGCAACCCUGAUCCAGCAAUGCCGCGUGUGUGAAGAAGGCCUUCGGGUUGUAAAGCACUUUUAUCGGGAACGAAGCAUUGUCGGCCAAUACCCGGCAAGACUGACGGUACCCGAGGAAUAAGCACCGGCUAACUCCGUGCCAGCAGCCGCGGUAAUACGGAGGGUGCAAGCGGUAAUCGGAAUUACUGGGCGUAAAGCGUGCGCAGGCGGUUUGUUAAGUCUGCUGUGAAAUCCCCGAGCUCAACUUGGGAAUUGCAGUGGAUACUGGCAAGCUGGAGUACGGUAGAGGAAGGUGGAAUUCCCGGUGUAGCAGUGAAAUGCGUAGAGAUCGGGAGGAACACCAGUGGCGAAGGCGGCCUUCUGGACCAGUACUGACGCUCAUGCACGAAAGCGUGGGGAGCAAACA